rnacentral:lncRNA from 1 species
UUCCAACACAAAAUUAACGGCAUAACUUGAACCAGCAACUUUAACUUUGUAACAACCCAAACAGAAACAUAAAUAAUCAAAUAUGAAGCUGAAAUUUUAGUCAAAUGAUACGCGAAAAAAAUGAAAUACAACUGUUGACGCACAAGAAACAGGCCUCGAAAUUCAGUGACAAACAAACGACGGAAAUAUGAGCUUCAAAAGAACUUGGUAGGCAGCAAUUAUCCAAACCAAAAAAGAGCUUAGGAAAACAAUUCCUCAUAAUAACAGUGAAAAUAAAUCAAAAAAUACACUGCCUUUGAUUCUGUAAUCCAACGAGAAAGAGAAACAAAGCCUAAGAACAAUUUUUGACCAUAACUAAAACCUGGAACCUCAAACUUUUUACUCCUCUCGUUUCCCGCUCCUCUUCAUUUCCGUGCAUGUUUGUUAAAGUUGUUUGGAAAUAAAACAGCGAUUCCAGGUCACAGGGGUGGUCGUUUGGUGGUGUGAUGCGGCUGGCAUAGAGAUGGAGUUUUAGGGUGCUAGGUUUUUUUUCUUGUGAGGAAGAAGAUGGUAUCUCACUUUUGUAUUUAGGUACUGAAGGGUUGUGUAUUUGGGAUUAAGUGAAGGUGUCUUGACGAAGCUGGGGUCGGUAUUUGUAUUAUUGUUGAAAGAAAAAAAAAUCAGAAAAUGGGGAGGGGAAAGGUUGAAGACUAUGGUUUAGGGGGGGUA